rnacentral:ncRNA from 21 species
CUAAGCAUGCCUGGUCGUGGUUCUGCGGGUCCGUCAAAGACGAACGCCGGAGCCAAGAGGGAAUCCGGUGCGCAUCAGCAAAGCCGGAGCUGCCCCCGCAACUGUAAGCGGCGAGCCUGCAUCCACCGACGUCACUGAGGCUUCCGCCUCGGGAAGACAGGAUCGCAGGCAAUGACCCGUGAGCCAGGAGACCUGCCACGACACCAUAAUCGUCC